AUUGAACGCUGGCGGCAGGCCUAACACAUGCAAGUCGAGCGGAUGAAGGGAGCUUGCUCCUGGAUUCAGCGGCGGACGGGUGAGUAAUGCCUAGGAAUCUGCCUGGUAGUGGGGGAUAACGUCCGGAAACGGGCGCUAAUACCGCAUACGUCCUGCGGGAGAAAGUGGGGGAUCUUCGGACCUCACGCUAUCAGAUGAGCCUAGGUCGGAUUAGCUAGUUUGUGGGGUAAAGGCCUACCAAGGCGACGAUCCGUAACUGGUCUGAGAGGAUGAUCAGUCACACUGGAACUUAGACACGGUCCAGACGACUACGGGAGGCAGCAGUGGGGAAUAUUGGACAAUGGGCGAAAGCCUGAUCCAGCCAUGCCGCGUGUGUGAAGAAGGUCUUCGGAGUGUAAAGCACUUUAAGGUGGGAGGAAGGGCAGUAAGUUAAUACCUUGCUGGUUUGACGGUACCAACAGAAUAAGCACCGGCUAACUUCGUG
rnacentral:rRNA from 1 species